UAAGGAAUAUUGCUCAAUGGCCGAAAGGCUGAAGCAGCAACGCCGCGUGAAGGAUGAAUGGCCUUUGGCUUGUAAACUUCUGUAGAGGGGGAAAAAUGAUCCGUCAUUGGCGGAUUUGAUUGUACCCCUGGAGUAAGCCCCGGCUAACUACGUGCCAGCAGCCGCGGUAAUACGUAGGGGGCAAGCGUUGUCCGGAUUUACUGGGUGUAAAGGGUGCUCAGGCGGGUUUUUAAGUCAGGGGUGAAAUCCCGGAGCUCAACUCCGGAACUGCCUUUGAUACUGAAAGCCUUGAGUGCGGGAGAGGGUAAUGGAAUAUCUGGUGUAGCAGUGAAAUGCGUAGAUAUCAGAUAGAACACCAAUGGCGAAGGCAGUUACCUGGUCCGUCACUGACGCUAAAGCACGAAAGUGUGGGGAGCAAACAGG
rnacentral:rRNA from 1 species